GAUGAACGCUGGCGGCGUGCCUAACACAUGCAAGUCGAGCGAAAAGACCAGGUUCUUGCUCUUCUCGCGUUAGCGACGGACGGGUGAGUAACACGUGGCUAACCCUCCUCUUUGAGUGGGAUAACGUCGGGUAACGGGAGCUAAUACUAGAAAAUACAGUGAACCGCAGGGGUCAGUAGAGAUUGACGGUUUGGGGGUCACUUAUAGACUGAUCCGCGCGUCAUUAGCGAGGUGGUAUGGUAACGGCUUACCAAGGCAACGAUGCGUAGCCGACGUGAGAGGGGGAUCGGCCACACUGGAACUGAGACGCGGUACAGACUCCUACGGGAGGCAGCAGUAGGGAAUCUUCCGCAAUGGGGGAAAGCCUGACGGAGCAACGCCGCGUGGGUGAUGAAGGUCUUCGGAUCGUAAAACUCUGUUAGGGGGGAAGAACAAAUGUGUAAGUAACUAAGCACGUCUUGACGGUACCUAAUCAGAAAGCAACGGCUAACUACGUG
rnacentral:rRNA from 1 species